GUCGCGCACUGCUCCCUCCUCGUCACGAAGCAACUGGGUAGGGGCAAGGAGUCCUGUCCAGCGAGGGGUACCACUGACGACGGUGAAGGGUCCAGAAGGAGGAGGAGAGUUGACGAGGAGGGGGUAAGGUGAGGUGAUCAGGGGACGAUGAGGGGACUGGGGGACUCGUUAACGAGCUCAGGGGAGGGUUAGAUCAGGGGUUUAGGGCUAGAGGAAUGGGUCUAGGAAAGACUUUAGUUCGUCAGCGUUCAGUCAUAUUCACCUAGACGUCCGACAUCGACGUGUAAGCACUCCCCACAGGUAAAUCAAAAACGUUCGACGUUCGACCCUCGUUGGUAAGCUUUUCGAUGACAUUGUCUCGCAGCUAACUGCUGCGUUUAAAUCGACAAGCAACAGUCAAGUAACCUGCUGGACUGGAGGUGCGUCUUAACGGUCCCGCUCGUGCCCCCGGUACCUCCCACGAGACCACUCACACCGCUGCCCCUGGGACUUUGGGCAGGACCCCUUCGACCGGAGAGACUACCCGCUGCUCAUGUUCGCAGAGUUCCCCCACGCGCCGCUCUAGUUCAAAGACUGGCUACUCGAAUGGCGUUACGUACGGAAAGAGGACUUGUACAGUCUCCUCCUCCUAGGACUACACGUCCUAUUUCAAACCUACUUACUCCACGCGCUCGACAGGAUGCCGUACCUCCUGAGGUAGCUACUGAAGUACUUUGUACAUCUACUGUUGCUGUGUUUCGGUCCAUCGAAGUGCCUCUCCUAGUUCUUGAACAACCCCUUCUACUUCUGAGCGGUAGCCUAACGUUUGCUCUAGGUUCUAAACUUCUUUGCAUAGUAACUCCACCCGCUCUCCUGACGUUCCAUGUGUUGAGCACUACGGAACAGGUUUUGGCAGUUACACUGGCAACUGGGAUCUCGAGAACGUUAGAAACUCGUACGGAGUUACGAGCAGCCUUAACUACUUGGCUUCCGUUGCGAUUAGUUUGAGAACUGACUUCUCCUGCCUACACGUAGUUGUGUUAUAGUUGUUCACUUCUACCAGAGACAGCAACCUAGACGUCCUUACCCGUUCUGUUGAGAACGUUUGGUUCACAUAGUUCUCGAGUUUCCGUUUGAGUUCACAGCCCGAAAGCACAGUCACAGUGCGUUAGGUCUGUAGUACUUAUAAGAGUCUUGAUAAAUACCACUUCAAUCGCCCUUUGGAAUAUGACUGUGUCUUCGUCCCUCACAUGUUGUUGAGGAGCGGUAAUAGAGGUUGAAGGAACGUCUGUUCUCACCAUUGUUCUAGUCAUGAUGAUCGUCUAACCCGUGAACUCACAACAUUGCUACAACGAGCACUGGAACUCUGGACCGGCUAACGACGUAAGUUGUUAAGGUCAUGUCUAAUAGAUGUGCUACUUCAUUACCUCGUGCGGUCGAGAGGAGAGAGCUCCUCUGUUCAUCCGUAACCAUGUUUUCAAUUGUUAGACCAAGCCAAAUUGACAUCCGUGACAUGACCGCCAUGCCUUAGAGAACUCGAAACAUGUCAUAGGUUCAAUGCAUAGUAAGUCUUUUACACACAACAAAGAGUUAUCCAUUAAUAAGUUGUACCAAACACAACGUGGAAUUAAAUUAA
rnacentral:rRNA from 1 species